AACGAACGCUGGCGGCAUGCCUAACACAUGCAAGUCGAACGAGACCUUCGGGUCUAGUGGCGCACGGGUGCGUAACGCGUGGGAAUCUGCCCUUGGGUUCGGAAUAACAGUUAGAAAUGACUGCUAAUACCGGAUAAUGUCUUCGGACCAAAGAUUUAUCGCCCAGGGAUGAGCCCGCGUAGGAUUAGCUAGUUGGUGAGGUAAAGGCUCACCAAGGCGACGAUCCUUAGCUGGUCUGAGAGGAUGAUCAGCCACACUGGGACUGAGACACGGCCCAGACUCCUACGGGAGGCAGCAGUGGGGAAUAUUGGGACAAAUGGGCGAAAGCCUGAUCCAGCAAUGCCGCGUGAGUGAUGAAGGCCUUAGGGUUGU
rnacentral:rRNA from 1 species